rnacentral:rRNA from 1 species
GGAUCCAGACUUUGAUUCUGGCUCAGGAUAAACGCUGGCGGCGCACAUAAGACAUGCAAGUCGAACGGAAGUCGUUAUAAAAAGGAUUGAAGAUUUAUCUGAUUGAGACUUUAUAACAAUGGCUUUAGUGGCGGACUGGUGAGUAACGCGUGAGCAACCUGCCUACUAGAGGGGAAUAACAGUGAGAAAUCAUUGCUAAUACCGCAUAUGCCAUGAACAUCACAUGAUGAAAAUGGGAAAAGAGUAAUCUACUAGUAGAUGGGCUCGCGUCUGAUUAGAUAGUUGGUGGGGUAACGGCCUACCAAGUCAACGAUCAGUAGCCGGACUGAGAGGUUGAACGGCCACAUUGGGACUGAGAUACGGCCCAGACUCCUACGGGAGGCAGCAGUCGGGAAUAUUGCGCAAUGGAGGAAACUCUGACGCAGUGACGCCGCGUAUAGGAAGAAGGUUUUCGGAUUGUAAACUAUUGUCGUUAGGGAAGAUACAAGACAGUACCUAAGGAGGAAGCUCCGGCUAACUACGUGCCAGCAGCCGCGGUAAUACGUAGGGAGCAAGCGUUAUCCGGAUUUAUUGGGUGUAAAGGGUGCGUAGACGGGACAACAAGUUAGUUGUGAAAUCCCUCGGCUUAACUGAGGAACUGCAACUAAAACUAUUGUUCUUGAGUGUUGGAGAGGAAAGUGGAAUUCCUAGUGUAGCGGUGAAAUGCGUAGAUAUUAGGAGGAACACCGGUGGCGAAGGCGACUUUCUGGACAAUAACUGACGUUGAGGCACGAAAGUGUGGGGAGCAAACAGGAUUAGAUACCCUGGUAGUCCACACCGUAAACGAUGGAUUCUAGGUGUAGGAAAUGAUUUCAUUUUCUGUGCCGUCGCAAACGCAAUAAGUAUCCCACCUGGGGAGUACGGCCGCAAGGUUGCAACUCAAAGGAAUUGACGG